CAACUCGGUACCUGCACGCACGUGGCAGCUCCGGGAGGUGUUUCUGCACUGUGUGAGCAUCUAACAGCCGUGCCGCUGGAUAGCCCUGUGCCAGCUGGAGGCACGCGUACGUUUGCAGGGAGCACGCUGUGCUAAGCAGCCCUCGGGAUACCGCCAGAGCUUCUGGCUGAGGGAGGCGGGCAUCGAGGUUUCUACGGAAAAAUAAAAUAAAAUAAUAACCGCUGUGGAAAGUAGGGAAGCAAGGUGACUUAGCACUACUGUCAUUUGCAGAUGAGUUGCUUUAGAGAGAAGCUUCUUUAAAGCAGAUGAUGUGCUGCAGCUCGGGAGCUGGUGCGGAAGGCACCCGGGGCUGCGGUGUCAGCUGGAGGCGCUGCUUUCCCUUCCCCGCUUAAUCACUCCAUUAACAGUUCGGGCAAAAAGCCACCCACGCUUCAUGCAAAUACCGUGCUGUCCUUUAGGCGGAAUGAGCGAAAUGAAAUUACCGCGAGGAUAUUUCUAAAUCAGCUCAUAAUUGUUGUGUUUUCACAAGCUGGUGGCAUCGGUUAGCUGACAUCAAUGAGUAUUUGUUGUGUGCAGUUAGUAUAUGCCCUGGGGAAAAGCUUUAUUCAUCCAUACUGCCAUCAGUUAAAAGCAGAACGAGCCCAGGCUGCCACCACUGCUCCACGUGUCCUUGGCUUUGCUCUCUGGUUCCAAGCAGGCUGCCGAAACCUGGAGCAGACCUCAAGGCCUCUCACCGUGCUCCCUGUCAGCACCUUGUUCUUACUGGUGAGCCAACCGAUAGCUCACUUUAAUUGUAUAGCCUCAUCAUGUUCAUGCUAUUGCCAGGUAAUAAAGUUGGUUACAUCAGCACACUUCACAUGCAUCCUUAUUCACCUGCACAGCCAUCCAUGCACACCCGUUUCUUUUAUUUCUUUUACUGCAGGACUCAGAGUGAUUGGGAACAGACUCUUGCUUCUGAUUGAGGUAGAAGAGACAUGAUUCAGACUAUACUUGCUGUUGGCCAGGCUAAUGAGAAGGAGCACUUCAGCACUGAAAGGAUUCCAUAUACUUAACCUGAGAUGGCUGGCUCCUGUGAUAGAGAAAACAAUGGCAGAUGAUCCAGACAGUAUCAUCACUCCCCUGGAUUACAUGAGGCUUCUGGGAACUGAUGCAGUCCAUCCAUUUUCUCCACAAAACUAGGGAUGCCAGCAGAUUUCAACAGAGAAAAUGAACAUAUUUAUUGCUGUCCUGCUUGCUUCUGCUCUCUGUCAAUCUAAAGGAAUAGAGUUACUCUUAAAACAAAUCACUGCAAUCCAUCUCAAUAAAAAUGUAACGUGAAGAACAAGGUGUGCUCAGCAUAUGAAUGACAGACAGAAAUGGCUGAUGGUAAUUCUGGAAUACAUUCAGGGAUCCUGCUAUGUCUCUCCACCCAAAUGAAAGACAAAUUAUACUGUUAAAGCUCAACGUGUUAUGUUGUAAAGGUAUCCCACUGAGAUAUUAUUUAUGUCUUAAUUUAUACUUUAUUACUAAUAAUUUCCAAAUGGAUAAAGCUACCUAAUCUACUCUGCAGACCUUUACCUAUAAAUAACUGUUAGAAAUGAACUUAUUUGUGAAAAUUGGAGACAACAUCUGAACUGUAAAAUGUAACAUGACACUCUUAUCCUCUUUACACAGACUAAUAAAUAAGUAUAAAUACAUAAA